AGAAAUCAACAAGAGCUUUGUGACAGAGAUCUAAUAUUCAUAGAAACAGAGGAGACUGCACUUAAAUGUGAAAUAAGUGUAAAUAAAAUGUGAAGAUUUUGACAAGGGAGUCAAAAUGACCUGCUCACCUCAGAGUCAUUCUUUCUAGCACUGUUGUAACAAGGAAGACAGGUAACUAUGUAUGUUCUUCCUCACUGUUCAGCUUCUUUAGGCCAUUAAGCAAUGCAGAUGAAAACAAGAGGAAUAUGAACCAGUCAAUGACUCAACAGCAGCAGUCUUUCUCAAUCAUCUUCAUCCUUACAUAUUCUAUAUUCACAAUAGUGAAUUCUCUUUUUCCUUUCCUAAAGAGGAAAUAUGCUUGAUACUACGUUAAACAUGAAAGGUUAAAUAACCUAAAUUAUCAAAAUUUGCCUGCUAGAAAUAUACUGAGCACUCCUGCCCUGGGAAAUAAGGUAUCCCUACCAUGCAAAUUUCAUUGAUAUCUAGUAUUCAUGGUCUGGGAGCUACCAAAUCAUGUACUAUAGAUCAAGGGCCAGUGCCUGCAGUUAUUUGCCUCUGCAAACCUGGGACAACACAGAGGUUGCAAGGAGUAGAAAUUGGUCUGUCAAAGAGCUUCCUCAUGUUAAAGGCUGGGAAGAGGAUAUGCUCCAAUAUUUGUGUUUACAGGAUUCUCCUCCAUAUCUUAAGCAACAUAAUCUUUAUUUCAUUUUUAAUAUAGUCAAACAUUUUUGAUCAUUCUUUUGUAUUUCAUCAAAAGCUAAACAAUCCCCAGCCCUCAACUUCUUCUAAGGUAGAAGUAACCAUUCCUCACUGCAGGGAGUGCUGGGCAGUACACUUGAAAGAAAAAACUUAAUUUCCAAGCUAACAAGAAAGUUCUGGUAGAAAUUUUUUCUGAUUACCAAUAAACACAGCCCUAGAAGAGGUUAAAUUUGCACUCUGUCAGCUCUAUGCAGACACAUACACACACUGUAGGAUCUCAGAAGAUCUCUGCCUAUCUGGCUGGCUAGGGUUUCACUCAAUGAGGAAGUGCUUUUAGGUAAACACUGCAGCAAGAGCAAGUCCUGGUAGAAGACUGGGGCCGUUUAUGUGGUUUAAGAGAACACAGUUUUAUUAAAACUAGGUACUGAAAUUUAUUUUUUGCAUUGUUUAAUCUGCAGAGAAUAUAAUCAUUUAAAGAAGAAAGGGUCUUACUAAAAGAAACGCCUGGUAGAACAUACACAUUUCAGUACUUCAUACAUUGCUUUAUUUUUACAGAAAGAGACCUGUUUUGCUGUGUUUUUUUAGUUACAUGUAAUAGAAACAAAUUUUAAAUGCUGAAAUCAGGAUGCCACAAGCUGAAUUUCAACUUUGUAUUUUGCAUGGAGCUCAGUCUAGCGAAGGAAAAAAAAAAAAAA